rnacentral:rRNA from 1 species
GUCCACGCUGUAAACGAUGUCGAUUUGGAGUUUGUUGCCUAGAGUGAUGGGCUCCGAAGCUAACGCGAUAAAUCGACCGCCUGGGGAGUACGGCCGCAAGGUUAAAACUCAAAUGAAUUGACGGGGGCCCGCACAAGCGGUGGAGCAUGUGGUUUAAUUCGAUGCAACGCGAAGAACCUUACCUGGUCUUGACAUCCAUAGAAUUCUGCAGAGAUGUGGGAGUGCCUUCGGGAACUAUGAGACAGGUGCUGCAUGGCUGUCGUCAGCUCGUGUUGUGAAAUGUUGGGUUAAGUCCCGCAACGAGCGCAACCCUUAUUCUUUGUUGCCAGCGAUUUGGUCGGGAACUCAAAGGAGACUGCCGUUGAUAAAGCGGAGGAAGGUGGGGACGACGUCAAGUCAUCAUGGCCCUUACGACCAGGGCUACACACGUGCUACAAUGGCGUAUACAAAGGGAAGCGAAGGUGCGGGCUGGAGCGGAUCUCAUAAAGUACGUCUAAGUUCGGAUUGGAGUCUGCAACUCGACUCCAUGAAGUCGGAAUCGCUAGUAAUCGUAGAUCAGAAUGCUACGGUGAAUACGUUCCCGGGCCUUGUACACACCGCCCGUCACACCAUGGGAGUGGGUUGCACCAGAAGUAGAUAGCUUAACCGCGAGGGGGGCGUUUACCACGGUGUGAUUCAUGACUGGGGUGAAGUCGUAACAAGGUAACCA